GUGGGCGUAGCUCAGUUGGUAGAGCGCAGGAUUGUGAUUCCUGUGGUCGCGGGUUCAAAUCCCGUCGUCCACCCCA
rnacentral:tRNA from 1 species